rnacentral:misc_RNA from 1 species
GAUGAAGAACGCAGCGAAAUGCGAUAAGUAAUGUGAAUUGCAGAAUUCAGUGAAUCAUCGAAUCUUUGAACGCACCUUGCGCCCUUUGGCCAUUCCGAAGGGCAUGCCUGUUUGAGUAUCAUGAACACCUCAACUCUUCAUGGUUUUCCGUGAUGAGCUUGGACUUUGGGGGUCUUGCUGGCCUAUGGUCAGCUCCUCUAAAAUAAAUCAGCUUGCCAGUGUUUGGUGGAUAUCACAGGUGUGAUAACUAUCUACGCUUGUGGUUUUCCACCAGGUAACCUUCAGCAGUGGAGGUUCGCUGGAGCUCACAGAUGUGUCUCUCCUCAGUGAGGACAGCUCUUUGAAUGUUUGAUCUCAAAUCAGGUAGGACUACCCGCUGAACUUAAGCAUAUCAAUAAGCGGAGGA